GAUGAACGCUGGCGGCGUGCCUAAUACAUGCAAGUCGAGCGAACAGAUGAGGAGCUUGCUCCUCUGACGUUAGCGGCGGACGGGUGAGUAACACGUGGAUAACCUACCUAUAAGACUGGGAUAACUUCGGGAAACCGGAGCUAAUACCGGAUAAUAUAUUGAACCGCAUGGUUCAAUAGUGAAAGACGGUUUUGCUGUUACUUAUAGAUGGAUCCGCGCCGCAUUAGCUAGUUGGUAAGGUAACGGCUUACCAAGGCAACGAUGCGUAGCCGACCUGAGAGGCUGCUCGGCCACACUGGAACUGAGACACGGUCCAGACUCCUACGGGAGGCAGCAGUGGGGAAUCUUCCGCAAUGGGCGAAAGCCUGACGGAGCAACGCCGCGUGAGUGAUGACGGUCUUCGGAUCGUAAAGCUCUGUUAUUAGGGAAGAACAAAUGUGUAAGUAACUAUGCACGUCUUGACGGUACCUAAUCAGAAGACCACGGCUAACUACGUG
rnacentral:rRNA from 1 species